AGUCGUUACGGGCAGUCAGAAGCCAGUAAGUCUGACGGUCAUUCACUUCCUUAUGACUUUAAUCGUAUUAUCUCAUUAAUUAUCCAAUGUACUGAGCUGUAAUUACUGACAUACACUUGAUCUAUAUAACUAAUGAUUGAGAUAACAUUCAGUUCAUAUAUCCAAUCCUGUGGCCAAAUAACACCGCGCGCAUCAAGACCGUGCUCGUGAAAAACUGAAUAUCAUCAUAACUUGUUAAAUACUUACAGGAUGCUAAUGAAACUUCAUAUACAUUUGAAGGCAGUUACAAGCUUUAAAAUGACGUUUAAACCGGUGUCUAGAUGGCGCUGAUCUUGGUACGUGACUACAAGGAACGGAGCGUCAUUUUCAGGUCGUAAAACGGAACGUACUUGUCAGCAACAAUGUGGGAUUUUCUUUUUGUUUUUUUUUUACUUUUCGAGCCCAGUCAAAAUUCAUCGACAUUUUUGGAUUAUAAAGUUUUGGUCUGACGUUUUACCUGUAUGCAAGGGCACUGAAUAAAAGAAACAACAAAAAUA